GCCUAAUUAGUCCCUAAUUUAAUUAGUUCCCGUUCCUACCCAACCCUCACCCGAUCUAUCUAUCUCUCUCCCUCGCUCGACCAUCUCUCUCCCCCUCACUGCGUCCGUACAACCUUUGCCGCUCUGCACAUGCACACGCGACACAAUCCGAUCCUUACCGUCGUCGCCGUCAUCCGUAGUCGUAACCAUCGCCGCCGCAAUCCUCAUCCAUCAAUAUUUUUGAUUUGUCGUCGUCGUUCCGUCUUUA
rnacentral:lncRNA from 1 species